rnacentral:rRNA from 1 species
UGGGGAAUAUUGCACAAUGGGGGAAACCCUGAUGCAGCUACGCCGCGUGAACGAAGAAGGUUUUCGUAUCGUAAAGUUCUGUCCUACGGGAAGAUAAUGACAGUACCAUAGAAGAAAGCUCCGGCUAAACACGUGCCAGCAGCCGCGGUAAUACGUAGGGAGCGAGCGUUGUCCGGAAUUAUUGGGCGUAAAGGGUACGCAGGCGGUUUAAGAAGUCGAAUGUUAAAGACCGGGGCUCAACCCCGUAAAGCAUUGGAAACUGAUAAACUUGAGUAGUGGAGAGGAAAGUGGAGAUCCUAGUGUAGUGGUGAAAAACGUAGAUAUAAUGAGGAAUACCAGUAGCGAAGGCGACUUUCUGGACACAAACUGACGCUGAGGUACGAAAGCGUGGGGAGCAAACAGG